GACGAACGCUGGCGGCGUGCUUAACACAUGCAAGUCGAGCGGAAAGGCCCCUUUGGGGGUACUCGAGCGGCGAACGGGUGAGUAACACGUGAGUAAUCUGCCCUUCACUUUGGGAUAACCCCCGGAAACGGGAGCUAAUACCGGAUAUGACCACUCCGCGCAUGUGGUGGUGGUGGAAACUUUUUGGGUGGGGGAUGUGCUCGCGGCCUAUCAGCUUGUUGGUGGGGUAAUGGCCUACCAAGGCUUUGACGGGUAGCCGGCCUGAGAGGGUGACCGGCCACACUGGGACUGAGACACGGCCCAGACUCCUACGGGAGGCAGCAGUGGGGAAUAUUGGACAAUGGGCGGAAGCCUGAUCCAGCAACGCCGCGUGAGGGAUGACGGCCUUCGGGUUGUAAACCUCUUUCAGCACCGACGAAGCGUGAGUGACGGUAGGUGCAGAAGAAGGACCGGCCAACUACGUGCCAGCAGCCGCGGUAACAC
rnacentral:rRNA from 1 species